rnacentral:RNase_P_RNA from 1 species
UCCCUAGUACGAGAGGAAUGCCCUGCCGCAAGGCGGGGAGGAAAGUCCGGACAGCUAAAAGGAAGGGUGGCUGGGGAAACCCAGUCCUUCCCGAGGUGACUCGGGAGGCGCGAUAGGGCCACAGAGACGAAUAAAGGUGAAACGUUCCGCCGUUAGGCGGAGAUCCUCCAGGAGUAAUCCUAGAGGAGUGGUAACCCGCCCCGCUGCAAUCGACGAAUUGGUUAAGGUUCCUUUUCCGCCAUGCCUGACGGCAGGCAGGUCCCUAAAGUCUCGAGCAUAGAUAGAUAUUCCUCCACGACAGAAUCCGGCUUAUUGUACUAGGGAGCCC